ACGUAUUCCCCCUUUUGGAACAAGUUAUGCCACAGACAUGUUAUUUUUAUGUGCAUUACUUUUAAAGUUAACCAACUCGAAAAAAUAAACUUUAAUCUUUAAAAAUUAAUUAGUACUGGGGGAAAAUGGCGAUUCUUUAAAAGUUAACCAACACUGGGGAAAAGAAAAUGGAGUCUGAAUGAAGUCUGAAUGAAGUCUGAAUCGGAUCGCCUAAGAGUUUGCUGUCGGCAGUCAGCUACAUCCAGUUAAAUAUAAAGCCUUAAAUAAGACUUAAUAAAAUUAUCUAAAUUUUGAAAGAAUGGCAUCGAAUGGCUAUGGAAUGGUUCCCAAGGUCUGCAAACAACUCCUUCUUGGCAUCUGGUCUAAAAUAGGGAAGAAUGUGCCAUACAAAGUGCACUACUGUUUUUUGGAGAAAUCCUCGCCUCGAAUUUGCACAAUAUUUUUAGAAUUCAAUCCUUGUCCAGAGCUGGAGGGAAAAAGCUCCAAGAGGCGGACCGGCGAACACUUUCAGGGCCUACAAGCUGGCUCAAUUAUAGACUUUAAUAUGAUCAUUGUAACCUUGUUCGGGAUUAUACUACCAUUUCUUGUAGCCGUGAACCUCUUUUAAGACAUAGUACCACAUCCUCUUUGAAUAAUUAGGCAUUAUCCAUUUUUAUUCAGAAACAACGGACAAUAAACUAACCAAUAGUAGCUGAUA